GCCGCCAGAAGGACGGUGGCAGAACCUGUGGGCUAGGUGGGGGGCUCGCCAGCUAAGAAGAAGGAGAGCGAAGACCACUGCUCCGGAAAAGCGAGGAGGCGCAUGAAAUCCAGGAUCGGGCGGCAGCACUCCUCCUCUUGCAGCGGGAGACCGCGCUUCGGGAGAGCGCACCAGCAGCCCUGCGCGCAGGUGGCAGUGUAAAAGCCAAAACAGGAGCUUCCAGAAGUGGCUUCUGAAAUACAAGAGUGAAUGUACAUGAGUAAGCAAGCAAAGGAAUCUGAAAAACCACCGGUUUCCAUUUCUGAAUAAGGAGAAGAUGAGUUUCUCUCCCUAUGAAACUUUCCCUUGACAUGUUGCUGGGAAAUCAAAAAGAUAAAACAAACAUGAAAACACACUUCUCAGUAGUGAGGUAAUCAUUUUGCAUCCCUACUUGUGAAGAACCACCCUUGUGAAUGCUGCAUCGAUUUCAAGCCGUUCUUACCAAUUCAUCAGCUCCAGAGACCCAAACUACCUACUCUGUCAGCAUCCCUUUCUCGUAUUGAGGCUGUAGAUGAAGUGUCUUGAGAAUGAAGUUGACUCCAUGGUAGAACGAACUGAAAACUCCACAAAUGAGCUCCUGUAAGAUUGUACCUGGGUGUACCAACUUCAGCCUUUCCUAGGCCAGUAUCCUCUGUGAGGGCAUGCCGAAGAUAAAACCUCAAAUAUUUGCUUUCCUCCGGUUUUUGAUCUCCCGUACCUCUGGAACAGUUCUCCAUGUAGGUGAUAGCGGCACUAGGUAUGAAUUAAUUGAGAUGGGGCAGAAGUAAGAAAAAUCAUGACAUGCCACCCUUACCAGUUUUAGGAACCAAGUUUUUACUCCCCUCCCCCCAGUAGACUGCAGUUUGGAAGAGUAUGUAAAUAACAUAGGACUGUAUGCAAAUAUACUUCCCAUCUUGUUUGUGAUUUCAUAUACCUGAGUAAUGCCUCCAGUGAAAUGCAAAUAGAGACUUUUCUUCUGAAUCAUAUAGAUUUCCAAAAGCCAAGAAGUCCUGAGCUAUUGGGAAAUCCAGUUACCAAGUCCAUGUUUUUUAUUCUCUAAGGCCAAGACAGAGAAAUGUUCAUUACAUUUCAAUUACAGAGGAAAGAGUCUUGGACAUUCCAGUCCAUUCCCUUAUGUAAUAAUUCUUACAAUGGAAAGUUGAAAUCAUAAGCUUUAGAAAAUAUGCAGUUUCCUUUGAGUUUAGCCUUUUCUGAAAGGAAGGCUGGGUGAAUAAAAGUUUGCUCUGCCUUUUUUUUCACUGUUAACUUAGGAGUUACUGUUCUUCUUACAAGUGUAGUCUCUUUAGAGUAAGUAACUUCUGCAUUUCAGAAAAAUGGAGAGGUUUGGAGAGGAGGAACCCGUGAGGAACCAUUCAUGAAGUCGAAGUUGCUUGUAAUGCCUGUGUACUCCCUCUAUUCAUGAAUUAUUCCUUUUUCUGCCUUUGUUAUAAUAGUCAUAGUGUUCAGUCUCCUAGACUGUCUUGUGUUAUAUCCUUCUUUUGCUAAAAGACUAGAUAUCAGCAGCCUACUUUGAAUUAGAAGCCAAUUCAGCAUACCAUUUGAAAAGGAUAUUGGAAUCCUUCCUGCUAUGAAAAUGUCAUGUGUGCUUAAAAUGACAAAGUUUGUCCCAAGCAGUGGUUUCAAGUGCCUUUUAAAUGUUGUUCUUGAAUCUUCAAAGCAAUUUAAUUUUAGGGUGUUCGUUUUCAAGAAGGAAAAUUACCCAGCUAUGUGUUUGGUUGUGCUUUUUAAUAUCAAAAUGUUGAUCUGGAGAUGUAGAGUAUCCAAAAUGUAGAAUGAAGGUAGUGUGCCCGUUGGUAAAGUUUUCUUAUAAAAAAGCGUUUCUUGGGAGGUAAAACAACCAAACCAUAGAGAACUCAGAAAAAUAAAAUCUGAGUCAUGUAUGCUAGCAAAUACUUUUUGUUUGUGCUACUUAAUAUCAGUCUUUCAUACUCUCAAAUCAUGGAAUUUCCUCAACUGAAAUUCCAGGACAAGUGGUUUAGGUUCAAACUCCCCUGACAUCCCUCUCUCCACAAAUAUCAUGUCCAGCUCUCUCUUAGAGUUAUAGUUCCCCAGACUGCCCCUUAGGGACAGUGUGCCUGCUGAAGCUGGGUGCCCUGCAGUCCUGCUUGCAUGGAGGGAGACAUGUGGUCAGGUGCUCACUGAAAAAAAAAAUGAUGACAUUUUCUCCUAAACUUUUCUAGAAUGCCCAGAGGGAAGAGAAGGGGAAAGGGAGCAGGAUGGGAAGGGAGCUGCUGUAACAGUGAAAGGAUGAAUGACCUAUUAGAUCAUUAGGGUUAGUAAUAUGUUUUCUCAUUGGAAUCUGUGGGCUUUUCUCAUAGAUCAGCUUCUAUAUGGAUUCCAGGCCCAAUUCAGAGUUCAAGCAGCUUUGGCCAAAGAACAGCCACAGCAGCAGCAUGCUCUGUGGUCUGGGUUUAGUCCAAAGAGGGUUGCCAGAGAACCGGAAGACAAAGGUUUGACUUGAAAGAACACGUGGUUUGGGAGAAUCUGAAUCAUAUAGUGUUACUUUCACUUUUUCUUGACUUUUUUUUUCCCUAUGAACAAAACAAUGAGGCAAAUGGAGAGGCCUGAUUUGGAUAGUGGCUGGGAUUACUGUCCUGACAGAUGCUUCAAGAUUAGCAGUUUCCUGUCUUCAGUAGGUAUGAGCUGUGAGAAUGAGCUUCUUUCCCUCCCACCCGUUUUAUUAUUGGAUAAGGGUGAGGAGCAAAAGAGGCUGGGAGCCUCUCUUUUCCUUAUCCCUGCAGGUUCCUGGAGCCACUCAGUGAGCCAGGAAUGUGGGUACAUAGUGUGUGGUCUCCAGUCUGACCAAAGAGGCAGUUCCAUUUCGGGCUCUACCACUAAAAAUGUCUUUAUCCUGCCUGGGCUCAGAGGAGUGUGGGGAGGUUUGCCUUUCUCUGCUGCUUUUUUGCUUUCCACUAAGGAAAGCUGCGUAGGUGCUGCUGGGUGGGUGAGGGGAGGAGGAAAGCUUAGGAAAAUGCCCAGAAGCUUCCAGAAAAACCUGGUGUCUGGGGAAAUGCUUGUGUGCUGUGAAGUGUGGUUCCCUGGAGAACCCUAGACCCUCCGGUGCUUCAAUAAUGGAGUCAGAGAAUGGAAAGAAGGGAGGGCAGGUGGGGACUGAGGGCCAAGUUUCCAGUCUGCUGCAGUGGCAGCUGGUUCUGUCCUGCUUCUUGCAACAGAAGACUAGGGAGGAGGCACACACUUAAGCUCAGCCAAAUGGCUGGUCAGCUGAUUCUCAGAAGUCAGUCAGGUGAAUGGGCCUUGACAGACCUUCCCCCCAGAGUGAGGGAUCACUUUAGAAGGCAGGUGCAAGCCAAGGACUCUGCUUUGUUGAUACUGAUAUGGAGGCAAGAGGAAAUGCUUUUAGAAAUUUUUAACUAGUGCUUUUGUGUGUGUGUAUGUCUUUAAAAAAUAAAUUUACCCCGUUUUUUCUCCUAACAUUUUUUUCUGAAAAUUUUCAAAUCUCUGGCAAAGUGGAAAAAAUUUUACAGUGAAAACACAUAUACCUACCACCUAGUUUACUAGCAUUUUAAUGUACAUGCUUUAUCAAAUAUCUGGCUAUCCAUCUAGCCAUAUGUUAAUUCAUCUUAUUUUUGAUGCAUUUCAAAAAAUGUUGUUAGGUGUCUUUGAGUUGGUUUUGAAUCAUAGCAACCCUGUGUACAACAGACCGAAAUGCUGCUUGAUGCUGCACCAUCCUCACAACUGUUGCUAUGUUUGAGCCCAUUGUUGCAGCCACUGUGUCAGUCCAUCUUGUUGAGGGUCUUCCUCUUUUUUGCUGACCCUCUGCUUUACCAAGCAUGAUGUCUGUCUCUAGGGACUGGUCCCCCAUAAUAACAUGUCCAAAAUAAGUGAGAGUCUCACCAUCCUCAUUGCUAAGGAGCAUUCUGGCUAUACUUCUUCUAAGACAGAUUUGCUUGUUUUUCUGGCAGUCCAUGGUAUAUUCCUUGGUCUAUUCAUAUAGUCCACAUUCAAUAUACUUGGCCUAGUGGUUAAGCACUCAGCUGCUAACCAAAAGGUCAGCAGUUUGAACCCACCAGCCACUCCACGGGAGUAAAAUAUGGCAGUCUGCUUCUAUAAAGAUUACAGCCUAGGAAACCUGAUGGGGCAGUUCUGUUCUGUUCUGUUCUACAGGGUUGCUAUGAGUCCGAAUUGACUCGAUGGGAAUGUAAUUUCAAAAAAUACUUUCCCCUGAAUGCUUCGGCAUUGUAAGUUCAGUGUUUAUUUACACUUUUUUUUUCCUUUUGAGGUACAAUGGAAUGCCCAAAUCUUAAGUGUUCUACACUGUCUUCUGAAUGAUGUAUUUUCUAUCAUUUUGUCAGAUUUUACAAAACUAAACAAAGCUUCUGGUUAGUCACAUAAUUGCUAUAAAUUAUUUAAGAAGUGCACAUUAUUAAAUUGAGAAUGAGCACGUUAUAAGCAUAUUGGAAAGAUUGUUUGGAGAGGAUGUUCACUGCAACACAAAGUUCAUGCCCUGCCCUCUUGCCCCUGCCCUCCCCUCUUACACACACAUGAGAGAGAAGAAAGUGUAGAAAUUAAUGGUGAAGACUUUUUUCAAGAUCCAAGUGUGAAAGCCAAGCUAAAAGGUGACCUCUAGUUUUUGCCAUUUGCAACCACAUUCUUCCACCUUUCCAUUUCUUAAAUUCAAGGAUGUGGUGAAACCCAUGUGAAAUUGUACACUACAGAUUACUAUUAGUAAAAACAAGCCCAUGUGUACCUGGCUUAUUGGAUAAUCCACCCCUGCCCCACCUGUGACUGACAGAAAUGUAUAUACUAGACUAGGGCCAUUUUGUCAAAACGGUACCUAUUUGGUACCCAUUGACCCAUUUCUUGUUUGGAUAAAGAAAUGAAGAAACAAUUGGAUCGUGUGAACUAUUUCUAAAUUAGUUUAAGAGAACUGGUGAUCAAACAAAAUAUGUAGAAUAAACUUUUAAUCCAAAGGUAGUGACCUGAAAUGGAAGUAUCACCUUUUCAUGAGAGGAAAUGUGCCCAUGAAGAGUUACACUCCUUUUAUUAAUGGGGAUAUGGUCACUGUUUAAACCACAAACAAACAAAAAAAGCCCAGCAGCAUUUCUUGGGUAUAGUUACUCAUCUUAAAUGUUGCAAAAUACCCAAGGAAGGAAAAACCAGAAAAAGAAAGGGGGGAUAUUGGUGGUUUAAAAAAUACAGUGACUAACUGACUUGCGCUGACUAAUAUCAGUGAACUCAUAAUGAGUAACAAUAGUGAAUUUAGAAGGGAUAUAAGUAGAAGGAGAACUAUUUAAAGGUUACUUUAGUAUAAAGGGCAGCUGAAUUGGUAAUAACUAAGGGUUCCCUCUGGGAGAUUUGGAAGUAAUUCUUUUUACCCCUAAAAAGUUCUGUCUCUUACCUAAAGGAGUCAUCUUGGAGAAGUUAUAUAGAGCUCUUUCAAGUAUGGCUCCUUUUCUACUUCAUCCUGGCUGGGUGGGGGGAUUCUUGGCAGAUAAGCUUGCUUGUGGUUUUGCGUUGAAGAAAUACCAUUGCUGUGCAGUGGUAAGCAUGAACAAACAGUUGAUUAAAAUAAUAAUAAUAAGGUUGGUGGUGAUUUCUGUGAGCUGGAGAUACAAAAGUUUUGUUUGAAUUUAUUUUUUAGGUUUUGUUUCCUUAUCAUGGUAUAAAAUUAUAAGAACUGACCAACCAUCCUUUUUAUAAACAAAGAGACUUUUUUUUUUAAUGAAAGAGCAUAGUAUAUAAACAGCAAAAUGCAACUGACCAAAAUGUAUAAAGACAGGAUACUCCAUUCUAGAAUUUUUAAUUAUCUGAGUGUUUAUCAGAAAAUGUUUUGUUUUUUGUUCUUGUAGAAAAUAUUUUAAAAUGUUAAUGUAUUUUUCUUGAAACACCUUUUUCCUAACCCCACUUGACCCCAGACUAAGGACUUGACUGUCUUUUUCUAUCAUAGCAUCUGUCUUGCUUUUAUUGACACAGGAUAUUCACUUGUGUCUUGUCCCUUUUAGACUUAAACUUUUGACACUGUGUGGGUCAUUAUUUUAAUACCAGAGCCUAUAAUUCAGUGUGUGUAAUGUAGUAGGUAUGUAUUUGUUCAAAGAAAUAUUCAGGUCAUAAAUUAAAGAUGGGUUUAUCUAGCUGUGUCUUGGGGAUUAUGAUGUCAUUUAUUGUUUUAUCUUGAAAAAGAUAUCAAACUAUGCUAAACCUAGGAUAUGCCUGCAUAUUUAAUUUUUAUCUAAAAUAUUUAAAUAAGCUUAUUUUCCUGUUCUGUUUUCUUUAUCCCUCAUUAUUUAGAAUUUCUAGUGACUUAGGUCACUGUUAAAUGUUUAUAUAUAUUUGGAAGAUAAUCUGAGUUAUUAAUUUGGAUAAAGCUUUGGAUAAGUAAUUUUCCUCUUUUAGUAUUUAUGUAAUGUGUGGUAAAUAAAUAUGAAAAUAUCUUGAAGUGUGAGUUUGAAUAGCAUGAAUAGGGAAAACAAAGCCUCAGGUUUUCUUGAUAUCUGAAGGUCUUUGAGCAAUUAAUUGAAUGGGAUAUUUAUUUAAAUAAGUUUAAAUCCAUAGGCAAGUUGAUGAACAGUUUAGUUUGUUUGGUAAGAAAUUUAAUGGUUUAGAAAUAAUAAAUUUGAAUUCUUCCUAAAGCAUGUAUUAUGAAAUUUUCCUCGGUUUAAUUUCAGUUCAGCACGAAAAAGUGUAUCUUUGCUUUUAAAGUUGCAGUUAACUUUGUCUUAAAUUUAACAGCCCUAUUGUUCAGAGAUAGAGGUGCUGAGAACAGAUUUACUCAAUGCCUUUCCCUUAAAAGGAAAUCCUGGUGGAGUAGUGGUUAAGUGCUAUGGCAGCUAACCAAAAGGUCGGCAGUUCGAAUCCACCAGGCGCUCCUUGGAAACUCUAUGGAACAGUUCUACUCUGCCUAUAGGUAUAGGGUCAGUAUGAAAGUUGACUUGACGGCAACGGGUUUGUUUCCCCCCCCUCCGCCUUAAAACUGGUGGUAAAUUUAGAUGAAGUUGCUAGCGCCAGAAAACACCAUACUGUAGACCUUUGUGAUAUAUUUAGGAAUAAUUUCACUUAAGAAUUUUGCUUUCACAAUUAGAGCAAAUUGUUUUUAAAAGGAAAUAAGUUUUUAAAUCCAAUCUGGUUAUAGCAUUCUACUCAUCAGAGGUUUUUUUUUUUUUUUUUUUUUUUAAACGUGAGGGUGAAAAAUGAAUGUAAAGAAAGGGAUUUAUAUGAACAUUUGGCUUGAAAAUUGACUAAGACCUUUUUUUGCUUACCACCUUAUUCCAAAUGGAGGGUGUUUUUAUGCCUUCUGGUUUUGGCUAGGGCGAGAUAUUAUAAGUAUUGUCCCUCUUAUGAAGAAUCAGUAUUUCCAGUUAAUUCCGAAGUACUGUAAGUGCCUAUUUGGUAAAAUUCAGAGACUGGAUGUUUUUCAGUCUAAAUGUUGAACUUUAGAAAUAUGUUAACGGUAUGACUCAGUUUUCAUUUUGACAUGUAAGACCCUGAACGGGUUCAAUCCUGAUUUUUCUUUUUUAAUUCUUAUUAGUGAUGCUUGGAAUGUCUUUCCUAAAAUGCAAUGUCAGUAUUGAAAUGGAACCUGAUGCCUUGGGUUUAAUAGAACUUUUCAACAAAGAGAAAUGGCAAGCAGAGGAGUAUGGAUGAUAAGAAUAUUUUAUCAGGGGGCUAUCGAAUGGACAAGGAAAAAUAGCAGAUAACUAAAAUUCCCCACGACGAGUGAACAAUUGCUGUUUGGCCUUAACUUCAGAAAGAACCUAGGUUUUUCGUUUUGACAUAAAAACAAUCUAGAAGCAAUUAUUCCGUAUCAUUUGAGUUACAGAGGUCAGUGGGGUGUUUGUCAUCAGAAAGAGUGGAAAGCAUUUGUUCACUCCUUAUUCAAAGGAGUUCUCUGGAUUUCAUGUGGUUUUAAAGUUUGCAGAAGGGUGGAAAGUUUUCACGUUGGUCAACUCUAAAGAAAAUGGGUUGCUGCAGACAGUGGAGCUAAUAAUGGUGGCACAAAGUAAAGGAUCAGUAAAUAUGUCAAAUGACUGGAUCAAUAAACCUUAUCUUGAAAUUCCGGAAUGAUAGUUAAGCUUGAAUCUUGAGACACUACAAGAAAAUAAAGCAAGCAUUGUUUUAUACAGUGAGGGUCAAAUCAUAGACUCUUAUGCAGAAGGUGUGGUACCCAUUGAAACUAUAAAGUAGGCUGGGGGAAAAUUGAUUCAGGUGAGGGGGAUGAUCCUAAAACCAAACCUACUGCCAUCGUGUCCAUUCUAACUCAUAGUGACGCUAUAGGAUAGAAUAAAACUGCCCCGUAGGGUUUCCAAGGCUGUAAAUCUUUACAGAAGUGGACUGCCACAUCUUCCUCCCACGGAGUGACUGGUGGAUUUGAGCUGUCAGCCUUUUGAUUAGCAACUGAGUGCUUAAACCAUUGUGCCACCAGGACUCUGAGGAAUGAUAACCAAACCAAACUCAACCAAACCCACUGCCAUUGAGUUGAUUCCAACUCAAAAUGACUAUAGGAAAGAGUAGAACUGUCCCAUAGGAUUUCCAAGGCUGUAAUCUUUACUGAAGCUGACUGCCACAUCUUUCUUCUGUGGAGGGACUGGUGGUUUCAAACUCUCACCCUUUGGUUAGCAGCCCAGUGCAUUAACCGAUGCGCCACCAGGGCUCUCUGAGGGAUGAUCCAAAAACCAAAUGAAACCAGACCCGUUGCUGUUGAGUCAAUUCCAACUCAUUCCGACUCAGAGACCCCAUAGGACAGAGUAGAACUGCCCUAUAGGGUUUGUAAGGAGCAGCUGGGGAAUUUGAACUGCCAAUCUUUUGGUUAGCAUAGCAACCAUAACUCACCGUAGCUCUUAACCACUGUACCACCAGGGCUCCCUGAGAGAUGAUCACAAAAAAAACCAAACCCAUUGCUGUCAAGUCAAUUCUGACUCAUAGCAACCGUAUAGGACAGAGUAGAAUUGCCUUAUAGGGUUUCCAAGGAGCGCCUGGUGGAUUCCAACUGCCGACCUUUUGGUUAACAGCUGUAGCACUUAACCACUCCGCCACCAGGGUUUCCCUGAGGGAUGAUAGAUGUGCGAAAAGAGGUGUCACAUCACCUCGCUGGUCACUGAAGAAAAUAGGGUGCCAUCUAGUGGACUCAUUUCACUAUCACUGACCAAGUUGAGUAUUUCAGUCAACAUUAUUUUAGAAGAUUUAGAUUCUUAAUAAAAUAAUGUCACAAUUUGUUUUCUUUCUCAGAGAAUUUAUUGUUUUUUACUUUUUAUUUUGAGAUAAUUUUACAUUUAUGGAAAAUUUACAAAAAUAGUACAGAGAGUUCCUAUAUACCUUUCACGCAGUUUCCUCUGUUAACGUCUUGCGUUAUCCAUGGAGCACUUAUCAAAACCAGGAAAUUAACAUUGGUACAGAACUACUAAGUAAAUUCCAGACUUUGUUUGGAUUUCAUCAGUUUCCCACUAAUGUCCUUAUUCUGUUCCAAAUCCUGGCCAGGAUCCCACCGUGCUUUUAGUCAUCAUGUCUCCUUAGUCUUCAAUCUGAGACAGUUCCUUAGUUCAAAGAGUGUUUAUUAAAAACGCUUCUCUAGGGAUUGUGGCUGUUGUAAAAUACAUUUGAAAAUACAGGAGACUAAAAAAAAAAAAAAAAAGAAAGAGUAUUUAUAAAAUAAAAAUUUUGAUUAGAAUUAUUUAUCCUGCCUGUGCAAUUGCCCGACGGUCUUUUUUUUUUUUUAAAAGUUAUUCCUUUAUUUCUUAAAAGAGAUUAGUUUCAGUGAAGCAGUCAUGCAUUUCAGGAUUACAAAAUUAACAUUAUUAGUUUCUCAUUUUGGAAUUAUGACCUUUAAAAUUAAAGAUCUUUACCUUUUUGUGAUGACUAGAAAGAAGAAAAGAAUAAAAACUAAACAGAAUUUCGAGUCUUGAGGCUUGUGAUUACUUGGAUUCCAUUAUUUGUAAUGCUCAUUAACACAACAUAUAUGGCUUUAUAAUUUUUUAUUGAAUAUUAAAGGAGAAACAAAGUAGAAGAUUUACAAAUGCAAAGAAAUUAUUGUGACAGAAAAUUUGUUAUGUCUAGUAUCAUUUUAUAAAUAAAAAUAUUGGUUAAAGAGGAUUGUCUGAAGUUAAAAGGUAGGUUAAUAUGCCUCUUAAUAGCAGCAUUAAGCAUUAAAAUACCAAUCAAAAAAGUAAAAUGUAGGACUGAAUCAUUGAGCAAUCAGAAUUAUUAUAAUUUUGGCAUAAUUUUUGUCAUUAUUGACCCAAAUUAUUUUUAUGGUAACAACUUUCUCAAAAGUUGGCUGCAAAAGAAGAUAAAUACAAAUGGCUGGAAAUAAUUUUUUUUUUUAUUUCAUGAUUUUUCUUUAAUGCUCAGAUGAUCUUCAUUUAUUCCUGUACAGGCUUUUUGUCUUUGCAAAAUGCUUUAUAAGUUUUACUUGUUCUGAAAAGUUGUGAGAGGUAGGAAAUAAUCUUUUACACUUUUCUCAUUUGACUUAAAAGGAAAUUGAACCAUAGGGGAUUUUUAUAUUUUGCCUUAAUUGGAACAGCAGUCUCAUGCACACUGGCAGGUAGAAAAAAGGGCAACAGAUUACAAUAUAAUUGAAAAGUAAACCUCAUUUUGCCAACAUAUUUUUUAUUAUGACGGUAACUGAAAUUUUAAAGUGAAAGAUCUCCCAGAAUUACACUGCUUAAUAAAUCGAAUGUUUUGUUUUUUAAUAAUUGGUGUCUGAAAUACAAAUCAGUGCUUUCAAGUGCUCCCAAAAUAUUUGCAAUAUUUAAUCAGUGUAUAUAUUUAUGUAGGGUUUUAAGAAAUAGGUUGAACUAUCUGUUCUAAGAUUUCUAAACUAACAUUUAACUGCCUUGUAUACAGAAAUAAGUAGGUCUGUUACAAAUUUUAUUGUUAAAAAUAAGAAUGAUUUUUGGCCCUUAAACAACAUCAUAAUUUUGUUGCCCCCAGUUAGUAUAAUGAUUUGAAGAAUCCGUAUUUAAUUUAGAACAUGCUGUAUAUGAGUGAUGAGAAUAACAAAGCACAGUCUUAUUUUAUUCACGUUAAGGCUUUGUUCCUCUGAAUAUUGCUUUUUGCACUAUGUGAUUCUUCCCUGAAUCUAAUGACUAUGGUAAACUCUUGUGUACCUGAAAGCAGCAGAAAGGCCUGGAAUUUCCACAGAGGAUGUUUCCUUUAGCGCCUCUCCACACCCACCUUUCCCAAGUCAACUAGAAGAGAUGUGGUGAUGUUGUAUGAAGUGAAACUGCCUCCAAAACAAAGAGGAAUGACUUGGCCAGGGCCUUAGCCAACAAAGCUACCUUCUUCAGAAAACUUAUCAUUGGGUUGAUGUUGGCAUGAGGAUGAAUGUGCCUUGAUUCCAAGAUGCCAUCAGUCCUUUUAGUCAUAGUAAACCCAUAAAGUAGCCAAACCGUAGAGGCAUGUCUGCUUUCCCAGAACAUUUAUCUUGACUGCAAGAUACAAAUGUGUUGCUUUUCUUGGAUUGUGUAAUUGUGCCUUCUGUAGUUUUUUCUCAGCACGUUUUAAUUUUUGUCUUUACCUUAUAUGCAUACUCAAUUAUUUGAAAGUUAAAACAAAUUUAAAAUAGCAUUGCUUGCCUUUAAGCUAACGUAGUGAAAUAGAAUAAUUAGUCUGUCUUUUAGGUUUCCCACAUACUAUUGGGAACCCUGUUCUCUCUCCUUUCAUUUCCUCACCCCCAGGCAACCCAGCCCCCCUCAUGUUUGUCAGCAGUCUGUCAGUUUGUCCUACUGUGGGGCUUGCAUGUUGCUGUGAUGCUGGAAGCUAUGCCACUGGUAUUCAAAUACCAGCAGGGUCACCCAUGGCAGACAGGUUUCAGCUGAGCUUCCAGACUAAGACAUACUGGGAAGAAGGACCCGGCAGUCUACUUCGGAAAAGAUUUAGCCAGUGAAAAUCUUAUGAAUAGCAGCAGAACGUUGUUUGAUGUAGUGCCAGAAGAUGAGCCCCUCAGGUUGGAAGGCACUCAAAAGACGACUGGGAAAGAACUGCCUCCUCAAAGUAGAGUCCAACUUACUGACGUGGGUGGAGUCAAGCUUUCGGGACGUUCAUUUGCUGAUGUGGCACAACUCAAAAUGAGAAGAAACAGCUGCAAAUAUCCAUUAAUAAUCAGAACGUGGAAUGUACGAAGUAUGAAUCUAGGAAAAUUGGAAGUCAUCAAAAAUGAAAUGGAAUGCAUAAACAUUGAUGUCCUAGGCAUUAGUGAGCUGAAAAGGACUGGUAUCGGCUAUUAUGAAUUGGACAAUCACAUGGUCUACUAUGCCGGCAAUGACAACUUGAAGAGGAAUGGAAUUGCAUUCAGUCAAAAAGAACAUUUUAAGAUCUAUCCUGAAGUACAGUGCUGUCAGUGAUAGGAUAAUAUCCAUAUACCUACAAGGAAGACCAGAAAAUAUGACUAUUAUUCAAAUUUAUGCACCGACCAUUACAGCCAAAGAUGAAGAAAUUGAAGAUUUUUAUCAACUUCUGAAGUCUGAAAUUGAUCGAACAUGCAAUCAGGAUGUGUUGGUAAUUAUUGGAGAUUGGAAUGCAAAAGUUAGAAACGAAAAAGAAUCGGUAGUUGGAAAAUAUGGCCGUGGUGACAGAAAUGAUGCUGGAGAUGGCAUGAUAGAAUUUUGGAAGACCAACGACUUCUUCACUGCAAUACGUUUUUUCAUCUACAUAAAUGGUGACUGUACGUGUGGACCUCGCCAGAUGGAAUACACACAGGAAUCAGAUUGACUACAUCUGUGGGAAGAGACGAUGGAAAAGCUCAAUAUCAUCAGUUAGAACAAGCCCAGGGGCCAAUUCUGGAAUUGCCUAUAUGCAAGUUCAAGUUGAAACUGAAGAAAAUUAGAACAAGUCCACAAGAGCCAAAGUACGACCUUGACUAUGUACCACCUGAAUUUAGAGACCAUCUCAAGAAUAGAUUUGACGUGUUGAACACUAAUGACCAAAAACCAGAUGAGUUGUGGAAUGACAUCAAGGACAUCAUACAUGAGGAAAGAGGUCAUUAAAAAGAUAGGGAAAAAAGAAAAGACCAAAAUGGAUAUCAGAAUAGACUUUGAAACUUACUCUGAAAGUUGAAUACCUAAAGCAAAAGGAAGAAACAAUGAAGUAAAAGAGUUGAACAGAGGAUUUCAAAGGGUGACUCCAGAAGACAAAGUAUUAUAAUGACAUGUGCAAAGACCUGGAGACGGAAAACCAAAAGGUAAGAACAUGCUCUGCAUUUCUUAUGCUGAAAGGACUGAAGAAAAAAUUCCAGCCUCAAGUUGCAAAAUUGAAGAAUUCUAUGGGGAAAAUACUAAACUACUUGGGAAGCAUCAAAAGAACAUGGAAGGAAUACACAGAGUCACUCUACCAAAAAGAAUUGGCUGACGUUCAACCAUUUCAGGAGGGACCAUAUGAGCAGGAGCCAAUGGUACUGAAGGAAGAAGUCCAAGCUGCACUGAAGGCACUGGAGAAAAACAAGGCUCUAGGAGUUGUCGGAAUACCAGUUGAGAUGUUUCAACAAAUGGAUGCAGCCCUGGAAGCACUCACCUGUCUGUGCCAAGAAAUUUGGAAGACAGCUACCUGGCUAACCGACUGGAAGAGAUCUAUAUUUAUGCCUAUUCUCAAGAAAGGUGACCCAACCGAAUGUGGAAAUUAUUGAACAAUUUUUUUUUAUCAUUAAUAUCACAUGCAGGUAAAAUUUUGUUGAAGAUCAUUCAAAAACAGCCGCAGCAGUACGUCAACAGGGAACUACCAAACAAAUCUGUCUUGAAAGAAGUACAACCAGAGUGCCCCUUAGAAGCAAGGAUGGAUAUCGAGACUAAGUCUCACAUACUUUGGACAUGUUAUCAGAAGGGUUCAAUCCCUGGAGAAAGGACAUCAUGCUUGGUAAAGUGAGAGGGUCAGCAAAAAAGAGGAAGACCGUCAAGGAGAUGGAUUGACACAGUGGCUGCAACAAUGGGCUUAAGCAUAAUGGUUGUAAGGACAGCGCAGGACCGGGCAGUGUUGUGUUCUGUUGUGCAUCGGGUCACUAUGAGUUGGAACUGACUCAAUGGCACGUAACAACAACAAUAACAAGGCAACCCAGUUGGGCCACUGGAGGCUUUAAGUUUCCUCUCACCCGAUGCUGCGUUUGCUGACAGAAAUAAAUUAGUGUGCAGUAUUUAUUCAUGUAUUGAACAAUAUCGUUAAUAUCACACGCAAGUAAAAUUUUGUUGAAGAUCAUUCGAAAGCAGCUGCAGCAGUAUUACAACAGGGAACUGCCAGAAAUUCAGAAGAGGACGUGGAACCAGGGAAAUCACUGCUGAUGUCAGACUGAUCCUGGCUGAAAACAAAGAAUACCAGAAAGAUGUCUACCUGUGUUUUAUUGACUGUGCAAAGGCAUUUGACUGUGUGAAUCGUAACAAAUUACAGAUAACAUUGCGAAGAAUUGGAACUCCAGAACACUUAAUUGUGCUCAUGAGGAACCUGUACAUAGAUCAAGAGGCAGUUGUUCGAACAGAACAAGGGGAUACUGAGUGGUUUAAAGUCAGGAAAAGGUGUGCAUCAGGGUUGUAUCCUUUUACUAUACCUAUUCAAUCUGUAUGCUGAGCAAAUAAUCCAAGAAGCUGAACAAUAUGAAGAAUGGGGCUAUUAUCCCUUUAAGGUAAAAUUCUUGAAACUUAACGGAACCCUUGGGGAGGUAACACCUGAAAGCUAAAAAACCGAAAACCAAACCCACUGCCAUCGAGUCGAUUCUGACUCAUAGCAACCCUACAGGACAGAGUAGAACUGCCCCAUAUAGUUUCCAAGGAGUGCCUGGUGGAUUCGAACUGCCGACCUUUUGCUUAGCAGCCAUAAUAGCACUUAACCACUACGUCACCAGGGUUUCCCCUGAAAGCUAAGGGUGGGUAAUUUUAGGCUUGCGAGCAUUCGAGCAAGUGAACAUUUUGCUACUGCUCAGUCGUUACCACACCACGGGUGACCCUGCCAAUGUCUGAUCACAUGAGAAACAUGCAAAGUAAAUCUUGUAAAAACUAUAUAUAUAUAUAUGGUCUUCUCUGGAAUACAGGAAACAAGCAUGUUUCAGGCUAAUGAAUGAAAGGAGGCUUUCCAAAUAAAUCCAUUUACGCAAUGUACUAGAUCAUAUUAUGUCUUGUGAACUGAACAUAUUCCAAAGGAAAUUGGAGAAAUAAAGUAUUUGCCUAUUCAGGUGUAUACUUCUAGAAUUUUUUUAAAUAUCUUUUUGCAUAUGUUUAUUAGAGACUGGAUUCUUAAAUAAUUUUAAGUUAAUGGCUAGGAGGACUGAGAUUACUUUUCACCAACCUCCAGAUUAUAUUUUGACAAUUUGAGUUUCUCAUUAAGUGUUUUCAGUAACAUUUCGGCUUCCUUUGUAUGUUUCUUCUAAGUUGAAAAAACUAAUUGGUUCUUAUAGUCGUUAGUAGUUAAACAUCUGUAUUUUAGAAGAAGCCUUUUAAAAUUGUAUAAAUUGUACUUUUUAUAGACAGGUCCAAAGAAAUGAGUUGGCAUGAGAAAAGAGGGGUUCAUGAUCCCCUUAGAAAUAUUGAGAGAUGAAGUUUCACUUUGCAGACACUUCAUUCAUUAGUACAAACCCACUUAUUUUCUUUUUAUCGACUUCCAAUGUAGGUGCUUUGGCUACAGUGAGUUCUCCAGUUUUUUAAAGUGGACUUUUAUUAUUGCAAACCAGGGACACUUCAAGUGGUUAAUAGAACAAGGCUGUUGUAGAGCAGUGAGUUGAAACUGUUUCCUAGAUUGGUGAUUAUUGUAUGCUUUUGAAUCCUUACGUUCUGUGAGCGAAUGGUCUCUUUAUAUACUUUACCAUUCUUUGUGCUUAAUAAAUGUUAAAUAUUCUAGCCACAUUGAAUUCCCAGUACAUGUAGUAUUACCAAACCUAUAGGAAGAAUUUGUACAGCGUUCAAUGAAUAGUAAGGUUUUCUUUGUAUGGGAAUUUAUGAAAGAUGUAUUUUUCUUCAUGUACUCUAAAUACUUUAUGCCUUUAAGGCUGGUCUUGGCUGCACUUUGUUUUCAUGGCUCUUCCUCCGUUGUUAUUUGAGGAUGUUAAAUGGUAUGUUAACUUGAUUACGAUUUGUAGAUAUCAUAAAGCUGUAUGUGAUUCUCCCAUCAUCAAUACUAAAUCGACACCCUUUUUUGAGCCUUGGAUUUUCUUUGUCUACAUGUUAUAUGCCUCAAUAAGGGCUAAGCAAGGAGGUUGAGAUUUUUAUGAAGUGCUGAGUCCAGGGUGGCCUUCCCACCAUCCACAAUGGGAAGCUAGCUGUUGACUCAAUACUGCAUUCAUCUUUUGUGAUUUUAAGAACCACAUACUUAACAAGAGAGAUCCCAGGCUGUAGGUAGAUUUAUUCUAUCUUAAGAUGAGUCUUUGGAAAUAUAAGAGGCUUAUGGCAUCUGGAAGAUCGAGUUAUGGAAAUUUGAUUAAAAGGCAAAGAGAGGAAAAAAUGUGGUCUUUCCUGUUUUGGGGUGAACAAGGUGUCUAGGGCAUUUUACUUUAAGCCUGCAUUAACUCAUUGUGUUAUUUUUUUUUAAACCCUGUUGCCUUCUUACGGUUCAGAGGAACCACAUAUUAGAAGGUCUGCAUAUUUGGUAAUAAAAUAUUUGGCCUAGAGUGAAAUAACAAUGAUUUCUGUUUCAAAAGAGGACGGUGUUUUAGAGUUUGCUAGAUUCAACCCGUCCCUGCUUUUUGUAAACAAAUGGAGAAACUGAGUCCCUCAAGGUGUGACAUGCUUAAAAGUUGUAUAAUAACUGAAGUAGUACAUGGUUAUUUAAAAAGUGGAGAUGAGAUAGGCUUCUUAUACUUGAUUAGCACCCUCUUGAAGAGAAAUACUUUUGCUCAGAUUUGUGAGUAUUCACCUUCUGAUUAUAUUACUUAGGUCUGUCUUUCUUUAUUGUUAAACUUAAAUUGAAAAAAUAUAUGUUGCUUUUAAAAUGGAGGGUUUUAGAAGCAUUUAGAUCUAUCCCUUUGGUUUAGGCAAAAUUAGCCAGCCAAUUUCAGACUUGCCUUUUGGAAAGCUUAAGUAUAUGAGCACAGUGUUGAAGUGCUUGGCUGCGAACUGUAAGAUCAGCAGUUUGACCCCGCUAGCUGAUUCGUGGGAGAAAAGACCUGGUGAUCUGCUCCCAUAAAGGUUACAGCCUAGGAAACCUAUGAGGCAGUUCUACUCUUUCCUUACAGGGUUGCUAUGGGUCAGAAUUGACUAGACUAUAUAUAAACCAACCCACUGCUGUCGAGUCGAUUCCGACUCGUAGCAACCCUAUAGAACAGAGUAGAACUGCCCCAUAGAGUUUCCAAGGAGCGCCUGGCGGAUUUGAACUGCAGCCUCUUGGUUAGCAGCCGUAGCAGUUAACCACUAUGCCACCAGGGUUUCCAGACUCUCUGUGUGUGUGUGUGUGUGUGUGUGUGCGCGCUUGAAGUUUCUGUCAAAUCACAUCUUGCAGAAAACGUCUGAAAGCUGCUUUUCAUUUAGUGGUUAAAUUAGGAUGUUUCUGAGGAAGAGGGUGUGACCUCCUAAUUUGGGUUGUCCAUCUGUCCCUGGUGCUCCCUUUGCUUGCCGGGUCUGCCUUUCAUCUCUCUCUGAAGCAUUGAGCUCCCUGUGUCCUGACUGAUUGCUUUUUGGUGCUCUUCUCUUCCCAAGUGCCUGUACUCCUGGAGGACAUCAAGCCUGGGUGCUCAGGGCCAGAUGGGGCACCCCACAAGGCAGUCCCCUCACCCCCGCACUGGAGAUUCACAUUCAGCUGAUUCCUUGGCUAGAAUCUCCUCUGGAGAUUUCUAAUCUAUAUUAAAAAAAAAAAUAGCCAGGGUUAACAGUCCUUAUAUUAAUGAGUGAAGGGACAGGGGGAGGGAAGAAAGCUCAGAAAGUGACAUGGAUGAUACAAACUCAGGAUCCACUUUUGAGAUCAAAGGAGAAUGUGAGAGGUUUUCUCAUACCUUCUCAAGCACAUCAUUCGUUGAACACCUUUUGUGUUCAACAGGCUCUGAAAUGGUAUUACCACCUUUUAUCCUUACUGAAGCACUGUAAACAAGAGAUUAUUGGUUUUAUAUUAGAGACGAGGCCAUAGGCACUUAAGGGAGGUAUUCAAUCACUUGCCAAGGUCAUGUAGGUAGUAAAUGAUAGAAGGUAGCCAUGAUCCUCACUUGUCUGAUUUCACCAAACCAUAGCAAGAACAAAACAAAACAUUGAGAUGGAUGCAUGUCAAUAUGAAUAACAAAAUAAUGAUUUUUCAGUGCACAUUUUUAAUUUUGCAGAAUUUUUGUCUAAGACUGAGAUUAUAUAUCUAUGUUAAAAAAUUUUUUUCUGAGGUCCCACAAUAUGCUAGUCCCUGUUUUAGGUGCUGGGGAUACAGCAGGGAGCAUAUAUAAAAAUAAGUGAUGUUUUUAUCAGAUUCUGAGAUAGAACUUGAAGCUUUAUCUGUGCUUAUUUCAUCACGUCCUUUCUUCACAGGCAAGUCAUUGAAACAUAGAACCCGAGAUUAAUUGUUGUCAUUUUUCCAUUGACUCACAGACUUACUGAGCUAACAGUAUUUCUGAGGUUACUUAGCCAGCUCUUAAGGGUCUAGGGGCAUGCAAACCUAAACUGUGCUGUUACUGAUAAUUUCCAAAGAGGAUGAUUUCAUUAAGCCUUUGUGGUAGCUGCUGCUUUAGCUUUAGAAUGUUACCUCUUGUGAUGACGAUAAAUUAUUUUUGCCCCACCAGCAUUGGCGGGUAUGAAUUUUGAGUUUUAAACUGAAUACAUAAAAGAAAACAUUAAAAAAAAAUCUUAAAUUCCAUACCCUUAACCAAAUACAGCACUUUCAGUGGUUAUGAAAUGAUGAGCAAAAGCCCAGGCAGGUUGUCCAGACCUGUUCGGUACUGAUGUGGCCUGAAUCCUACCCACUGUGGUAUCAACUCUGGACAGUCACUCCUGCUUCCUGUCCCAAAUCUAUUGGUCAGUUAACCUCACUUUGCAAUGUGGUUUAGAAGCUUUUGGGAACAUCUUCUCUUCUAGUAGUUAUCUCAGUCACCUUGUAGGUGACUCUAUUUUGUUUUUCUUGCAGAAAGCUCUAUGCUUUAUAUAGAAUUGCAUUCUGAUGUUUUGUUCAUCUGUUGAUUGUUAGGGUUAACAGAGCCUGACCUGCUAUUAUAAUAGAAUUAUCAGUUAGUGGGCUAUAGACUUGAGCUGGUUUUAUUUAAACCCUCCCAUGUGGUAAUUUGCCAUCUUCAAAGCUUAAAUGAUGGCCGCUUAUCAAGUCUCAGAUUUUUGUGAUUGUUUCUACGCCUUGAAAAAGUAUAAGGGAAAAACAGACAAUUUAAAUACUUCCCAUCAAGAGGACGCCAGUUGUCAGGGAAACAUCUCCCAAAAGAAUAACUUAUCAAACCUUUAUAGAAAUUUCCCAUUAAAAGUGUCUCACUCAUUGCCUGCUCUGCAGAACUUCCUGGUUUAUUAAGCAGAGAGCUCCUGCUCUCUGGAGUUUUUAUGUUAGUUGCUAGGUCCUGUUUCAGGGCCUUCUUGGAUCCAGGGUUAUCUCCCCUGCAGUAUCUCAGUCAUGCUUGGCUUGAGUCACUUCACAGUGGCUCCUUCAUUUUGGUCUAACAAAGCACUCCUGGCUAGAAUCAUUACUUCUUUCAAUGUCCAUUCUUCAUCUAGCUCCUUAAAAAAAAAAUACUAAAUUGACGUUCUCCACAUACCUCCCUGUGAUUGUGCUUCAGGUGUAGGGAAGAAAAAAAAGUACUUUCUAGGUUGAGGAGUUAAACCAACAUGAAGUUCACUUAAUCACCAAAAGAUCACAUAUGAUAAUUCCCUGAUUUUCCGUUUUGAUCACUAUGACUGCGGGGAUGGUGAUGGUGGAGUGUGUCUUAGGAAGAUUUUUUUAAGGCUAUAUAUUUGUACUUCCUGCAUUUCUCUUUGGUAACACUCAUUUCCAUUUUAAUUACCUGUGUAAUUGUUUAAUAUCUGUAUCCCCCACUAAAGUUUAAAUUCCAUGAUGGCAGGAACUGUGUCACAUUGCCUCUCAUAUAGUUCAAUAUAUAGGCCAAUAAAAACUUUUUAUUUGUAGUGUACACAGCACUGUGCUGGGACCUUGGAACCUGGGCCAGUCACUUCCCGUAUCUAGACUACAGUCUCCUCAUCUAUGAAAUAAGGCCAUGAGUAGGGAGAUUUAUGAGGUUGCUUUCAGCUUUAUGAGUCUCAAUUUGUGUCUGACUAAAUGGGGGAAGCAUUGCAGCCAUUUGCAUGCCACAAUUUGUUUCCAAACCAAGGCUAACUCUAUUUAAGUGCCCUGCCUUGGGUUGGGAAAGACUGGCCCAUUGCUUUCCUGAGGCGCCCAUGCCAGAAUCUCAAGUCAUCUCCUUUGGGACAUCUGAGGGCAGUGUUUUCCAAACUUUUUUGGUAGCAGCUAAAUUCUCUUCAAAGGAAUAAAGAGUUAACAAUAAGACUUUCAGUUGUGUCGACAGAAGCCAUGCCAUGUCAGCACUUAACCUUGGCAUGGAAAUUUGUUGCAUGUAAGGAUGGAGGAAUUCCAGAAGGCAGAAUGGUUGAGAGGGCAGUUGAUCUAGUUGGAGAGGGGGGUGGAGACCUAGUGGCACUCCCUGGCCAGCUUUACAUUUAUCCUGACCCUCGCGCACCCCUGUCCUUUGGCCCUACCUCCAGCUCCAAAUUCCCAGCUCACUUCCUAGAACAUUUCAAAUCCUCUGCCCUGGCUUUCGAUGACUGUGGUAACUACAGUGGUGUGUGCGGGCCAGUCUCAGAAGCUGGUAUCCUGAAACUUACCACAUUAACACUAUCCCAGAGCCUCCCCCACAACUACCACUACUACCUGAUUGCUCCAAGAAGACUGGAAACCUCUCCGUGACAACCAGAAGGCCCUGUAUCAAAUAGUAUCUUCCCUAAUCCAGGAGGAUCAAAUAAUUGAAUCAAACUUGGGCAUUCAACAAAAACAUCUUACAGCUCCAAUUCCUGAAAGAAAUACAGCCUACCAAAACUCACCUAAGAUGAAGUAGAUAACCUGAAUAGCCCUAUAACCACUAAUAAAACUGGAUUCAUAGUUAAAAACCUUUUGAAAAAGAAAUCUCCAACUCAGAUUGUUUCGCUUGUAAAUUCUAACAAAUGUUUAAAGAACAAUUAACACCAAUUCUGUACAAUCUUUCAGGGAAGAAGAGGGAAAAUGCCCCAGCUUAUUUUAUGAGGCCAGCAUUACUCUGAUACCAAAGACAGAAACAGAUAAAAUAAAAAACCACUACCAACAACAAAAAAGCUAUAGGCCAAUACCUUCGUGAAUAUAGACAAAAAAAUCAUCAAAUGAUAUUAGCAAUGUUAGUUGUCAAGUUUAUGUGUGUAGAAUUGUUCAUAAUAUUCCCUUAUCUCUUUAAUGUCUGGAAUCUGUAGCAACGUCCCCACUUUCAUUUCUGUUGUUGGUAAACUGUGCCUUGUCUUUAUUCUCUACCAGUUUUGCUGGGGGUUUAACAAUUGUAUUGGUAUUUUCUAAGAGCCAGCUUUAGAUUUCAUCCAUUUUCUUCUCUUUUUCUGUUUUCAAUUUUAUUGAUUUAUUUUUCUCUUUAUUGUUAUUUCCUUCCUUUUGCUUGUUUUGGCCUUAUUUUCCUCAUUUUAUUUGUUUUUUAAGAUGAAAGCAUAGAUUAUUGAUUUGAGACCUUUUUUUCUAAUAUAGGAGCACUGGUGGCAUAAGGGUUAAGAGCUAUGGCUGCUAACCAUAGUUUGAUUCCACCAGCUGCUCCUUGGAAACCCUAUAGGGCAGUCCUACUCUGUCUAGGCUCCUUAUGAGUCCAAAUUGACGGCAACGGGUUUUUUUUGUUUGUUUUUCUAAUACAAACAUUUAAUUGUUAUAAAUUUCCCCAUAAGUAUCACUUUUAUCUGCAUCACACACAUUUUGAUGUAUUGUAUUGCCAUUCUGUUCUAUUCAAAAUAUUUUUUGUUUUCCUUUGAGACUUCUUUGACCCAGAUUAUUUAGAAUUGGAAAUGAUCCUUUUCUCUUUCUGUUGUUGAUUUCUAAUUUAAUUCCUUCAUGAUCAGAGGACAUACUUUGUAUUUCAAUUCUUUUAAAUCUGUUAAGGUUUGUUUUAUAAAUCAGGGUAUGAUCUAUUUUGGUGAAUGUCUCAUGUGCACUUCAAAAAAUGUAUACUCUGCUUUUGUUUUUUAGAAUGUUUUAUAAAUGGCUAUUAGGUUCAGUUGACUGGUGGUAUUUUCUGUCUGUUAUUGCCAUGAAUUGAAAUUGACUUGAUGGUAACUAACAACAAUAUUUUUAUCUGUUACUGAAAGAAAUAUUGAAGCCUUUAAGUAUAGUUGUAGAUUUAUCUAUUUCUCCUUUGGGUUCUGUCAGUUUUGUUUCAUGUAUUUUCAAGGUCUAUCGUUUGGUGCAUAUAUGCUUAGGAUUGUCAUGUCUUCUUGACAGAUUGACCCUUUUAUCAUUCUGGUUAUGUGCUUCUUUGUUCCAGGCAAUUGUCUUUACUUUGAAGUUCACUUUGUCUGAAAGCUACUACAGCUUUCUUUUAAACAGUGUUUACAUUUCCCAUCCUUUUACUUUUAAUCUUGCUGUUGAGUCAGACUUAUAGUGACCCUAUGUACAACAGAAUGAAAACUGCUUGGUCCUGCACCAUCCUCGCAAUCCUUGCUAUGUUUAAGCCCAUUGUUGGAGCCACUGUGUCAGUCCGUCUCGUCGAGGGUCUUCCUCUUUUUUGCUGACCCACUACUUUACCAAGCAUGAUGUCUUUCUCUAGGGACUGGUCCCUCUGUAUGUGAGAGGAAGUCUCACCAUCCUCACUUCUAAGGAGCAUUCUGGCUGCACUUCUUCUAGGACAGAUUUGUUCGUUCUUCUGGCAGUCCAUGAUUUAUUCAAUAUUCUUCACCAACACCAUAAUUCAAAGGGAUCAAUAAUUCUUCCCCCGUGCGUCUGUCAGUUUGUUGUACUGUGGGGACUUGCGUGUUGCUGUGAUGCUGGAAGCUAUGCCACUGGUAUUCAAAUACCAGCAGGGUCAUACAUGGUGGACAGGUUUCAGCUGAGCUUCCAGACUAAGACAGACUAGGAAGAAGGUCCCAGUGGUCUGCUUCUGAAAAGAAUUAGCCAGUGAGAGCCUUAUGAAUAGCAGCAGAAUACAGUCUGAUAUAGUGCUGGAAGAUGAGCCCCUCAGGUUGGAAAGCACUCAAAAGGUGACUGGGGAAGAGCUGCCCCCUCAAAGCAGAGUUGACCUCAAAGACAUGGAUGGAGUCAAGCUUUCGGGACCUUCAUUUGCUGAUGUGGCAUGACUCAAAAUGAGAAGAAACAACUGCAAACAUCCAUUAAUAGUCGGAACCUAGAAUGUACGAAGUAUGAAUCUAGGAAAAUUGGAAGAUGGGAGGGUAGAGAGGGUUAGAAACUGGCAAAACGGUCACAAAAGGAGAGACUGGAAGGAGAGAGCGGACAGACUCAUUAGGGGGAGAGUAAGUGGGAGUAUGUAGUAAGGUGUAUAUAAGCUUAUAUGUGACAGACUGACUUGAUUUGUAAACUUUCACUUAAAGCACAGUAAAAAUUAUUUUUUUAAAAAAAGAAAUGGAACGCAUAAAAGUGAGCUGAAAUGGACUAGUGUUGGCCACUUUAAAUCAGACAAUCAUAUGGUCUGCUGUGCCGGGAAUGACAACUUGAAGAGGAAUGGUAUUGUAUUCGUUGUCAAAAAGAACAUUUCAAGGUCUGUCCUGAAGUACAGUGCUGUCAGUGGUAGGAUAAUAUGCAUACGCCUACAAGGAAGACCAGUUAAAAUGACUAUUAUUCAAAUUUAUGCACCAGCCACCAAGGCUGUCUUAGUUAUCGAGUGCUGCCAUAACAGAAAUACCACAAGUGGAUGACUUUAACAAAGAGAAAUUUAUUUUCUCAGAGUCUAGUAGGCUAGAAGUCCAAAUUCAGGGUGUCGGCUCCAGGGGAAGGAUCUCUCUGUCUGCUCUGGAGGAAGAUCCUUGUCAUCAAUCUUCCCCUGGACUAGGAGGUUCUCAGCACAGGAAAUCCAGGUCCAAAGGACACACUCUGCUCCCAGCACUGCUUUCUUGAUGGUAUGAGGUCCCAAACUUUCUGCUAGCUUCCGUUUUAUCUCUUAUAAGAUAAAAGGUGGUGCAGGCAACACCCUAGAGAAAUUCCCUUUAUGUUGGAUCAGGGGUGUGACCUGAGCAAGGGUUUUCAAUUACAUGCUAAUCCUCUUUAGCCACAGGCAAAGAUUAUGAUGUAUAACACAUAGGAAAAUCACAAAAUCGAGGUAAACCACACAGUACUGGGAAUCAUGGUCUAACCAAGUUGACACACAUAUUUGGGGUAUAGAAUUCAUGACAAAGGCCAAGAAUGAAGAAAUACACGAUUUUUUUUACCAAUUUCUGCAGUCUGAAAUUGAUCAAGCAUGCAAUGAGGAUGCGUUGAUAAUUACUGGUGAUUGAAAUGUGAAAGUUGGAGACAAAGAAGAAGGAUUGGUAGUUAGCAAAUAUGGCCUUGGUGAUAGAAACGAUGCCGGAGAUCCCAUGAUAGAAUUUUGCAAGACCAACGACUUCUUAAUGGCAAAUACCUUUUUUCACUGACACGAUCGGCCACUAUACACAUGGACCUCCCCAGAUGGAAUACACAGGAAUCAAGUCAACUACAUCUGUGAAAAGAGACAUGGAAAAGCUCAAUAUCAUCAGUCAGCACAAGGCCAGGGGCUGACUGCAGAACCAACCAUCAGUUGCUCAUAUGCAAGUUCAAGUUGGAACUGAAAAAAAUUAGAAUGAGUACAUGAUAGCCGAAGUGCGACCUUGAGCAUAUCCCACUUGAACUUAGAGACUAUCUUAAGAAUAGAUUUGACGUGUUAAACACUAAUGACCGAAGACCAGGCGAGUUGUGGAAUGACAUCAAGGACAUCAUACAUGAAGAAAGCAAGAGGUCAUUUAAAGAGACAGGAAAGUAAGAAAAGACCAAAAUGGAUGUCAGAAGAGACUCUGAAAAUUGCUCUUGAAUAUCGAGUAGCUAAAGGAAAGGAAGAAAUAAGUAAAAGAGCUGAAUAGAAGAUUUCAAGGGGCGGCUUGAGAAGACACAAAGUAAAGUAUUGUAAAUGACAUGUGCAAAGACCUGGAGGUAGAAAACCAAAAGGGAAGAACAUGCUCAGCAUUUCUCAAGCUGAAAGAACUGAUGAAAAAAUUCAAGCCUCAAGUUGCAGUAUUGAAGAAUUCUACAGGGAUAAUGUUAAGCAAUGCAGGAAGCAUUAAAAGAAAAUGGAAGGAAUACACAGAGUAACUAUACCAAAAAUAAUUAGUUGAUGUUCAGCCAUUUCAGGAGGUAGCAUUUGAUCAGGAACCGAUGGUACUGAAGGAAGAAGUCCAAGCUGCACUGAAAGCACUGGCGAAAAACAGGGCUCCAGGAAUUGACAGAGUACCAAUGGAGUUAUUUCAUCAAAGGGAUGCAGCACUGAAAGUGCUCACUUGUCUAUGCCAAGAAAUUUGGAAGACAGCUACCUGGCCAACCGACUGGAAGAGAUUCAUAUUUAUGCCAAUAUCCCAAGAAAGGUGAUCCAACCGAAUGUGAAAAUUAUCUAAUAAUAUCAUUAAUAUCACAUACAAGUAAAACUUUGUUGAAGAUCAUUCAAAAGUGGCUGCAGCAGUAUAUCGACAGGGAACUGCCAGAAAUUCAAGGAGGAUUCAGAAGAGGUUGUGGAACCAGGAUAAAUCAUUGCUGAUGUCAGAUGGAUUCUGGCUGAAAGCAGAGAAUACCAGAAAGAUGUUUACCUGUGUUUUAUUGACUAUGCUAAAGCAUUUGACUGUGUGGAUCAUAACAAAUUAUGGAUAACAUUGCAAAGAAUGGGAAUUCCAGAGCACUUAACUGUGCUCGUGAAGAACCUGUACAUAGAUUAAGAGGCAAUCAUUCUAACAGAGCAAGGGUAUACUGUGUGAUUUAAAGUCAGGAAGGAUGUGUGUCAGGGUUGUAUCCUUUCACCAAAUGUAUUCAAUCUGUAGGCUGAACAAAUAAUCCGAGAAGCUGGAGUAUAUGAAGAAGAAUGAGGCAUCAGGAUUGGAGAAGACCAUUAACAACCUGCAAUAUGGAAAUGACACAACCUUGCUUGCUGAAAGUGAAGAGGACUUGAAGCACUUACUGAUGAAGAUCAAAGACCACAGCCUACAGUAUGGAUUACACCUGAACAGAAAGAAAACAAAAAUCCUCAAACUGACCAGUAAGCAACAUCAUGAUAAACGGAGAAAAUAUUGAGGUGUCAAGGAGUUAGUUUUACUUGGAUUCAUAAUCAGUACCCACGGAAUCAGCAGUCAGAAAAUCAAAAUAUGCAUUGCAUCGGGCAAAUCUCCUGCAAAAGACUUCUUUAAAGUAUUAAAAAGCAAAGAUGUCACCUUGAAGACUAAGGUGUACCUGAUCCAAGUUGUGGUGUUUUCAAUCGCAUCACAUACAUGUGAAAGCUGGACAAUGAAUGAGGAGGACCAAAUAAGAAUUGAUGCUUUCGAAUUGUGGUGUUGGCAAAGAAAUUGAAUAUAUACCAUCGACUGCUAAAAGAAUGAACAAAUGUGUCUUGGAAGAAGUACAACCAGCAUGCUCCUUAGAAGCAAGGAUGGUGAGACUAUGUCUCACAUACUUUGGAUGUUAUCAGGAGGGAUCAGUUCUUGGAGAAGGACACCAUGCUUGGUAAAGUAAAGGGCCAGCAAAAAAGAGGAAGACCUUCCACAAGUUGGAUUGACACAGUGGCUGCAACAAUGGGCUCAAGCAUAACAACGAUUGUGAGGAUGGCACGGGACUGGCAGUGUUUCGUUCUGUUGUAGAUAGGGUUGCUAUGAGUCGGAAUUGACUUGAUGGCACCUAAGAACAACGACAAUUCUUCUUCAGUCUUCUUUGUUCAUUUCUUAUUCACUUUUUUAAAGUUUUUAUUGUGCUUUAGGUGAAAGUUUACAAAUCAAGUCAGUCUCUCAUACAAAAAUUUAUAUACACCUUGCUUGUAUACUCCUAGUUGCUCUCCCUCUAAUAGGGCCGCACACUCCUUCUCUCCACUCUCUUAUUUUCACGUCCAUUCAGCCAGCUUCUGACCCCCUCUGCCUUUUCAUCUCCCCUCCAGACAGGAGUUGCCCACAUAGUCUCAUGUGUCUGCUUGACCCAAGAAGCUCACUCUUCACCAGUGUCAGUUUCUGUGCCAUAGUCCAGUCCAAUCCCUGUCUGAAGAGUCGGCUUUGGGAACGGCUCCUGUCUUGGGUUAACAGAAGGUCUGGGGACCAUGACCUCCGGGGGCCUUUCCAGUCUCAGUCAGACCAUUAAGU